AUAGGUACAGUAUUGGUNGGACCUACUCCUGCUGACAUAAUUGGACGAAAUAUGUUGACUAAGAUUGGUUGUACUUUAAAUUUCCCAAUUAGUCCUAUUGACGCUGUACCACC
rfam:HIV-1 isolate Pingxiang-44 from China gag protein-like (gag) and pol protein-like (pol) genes, partial sequence.